GGAGAGGUCGCAUAGUGGGCUAGUGCGUUCGUCCUGAAAACGAAUGUAGCGCAAGCUACCGUGGGUUCGAAUCCCACCCUCUCCG
rnacentral:tRNA from 1 species